rnacentral:rRNA from 1 species
UACGAAGGGGGCAAGCGUUGUUCGGAAUUACUGGGCGUAAAGCGUGCGCAGGCGGUUAUGUAAGACAGUUGUGAAAUCCCCGGGCUCAACCUGGGAACUGCAUCUGUGACUGCAUAGCUAGAGUACGGUAGAGGGGGAUGGAAUUCCGCGUGUAGCAGUGAAAUGCGUAGAUAUGCGGAGGAACACCGAUGGCGAAGGCAAUCCCCUGGACCUGUACUGACGCUCAUGCACGAAAGCGUGGGGAGCAAACAGG